GACGUAGGAGGCGAGCGUUGUCCGGAAUUAUUGGGCGUAAAGAGCUUGUAGGCGGUUUGUCGCGUCUGCUGUGAAAUUUCGGGGCUCAACCCCCGAACUUGCAGUGGGUACGGGCAGACUAGAGUGUGGUAGGGGAGACUGGAAUUCCUGGUGUAGCGGUGAAAUGCGCAGAUAUCAGGAGGAACACCGAUGGCGAAGGCAGGUCUCUGGGCCAUAACUGACGCUGAGAAGCGAAAGCAUGGGGAGCGAACAGG
rnacentral:rRNA from 1 species